UCGUAUAGAUGCAUGUAGGACAGUGCGUCUCAUUUUAUGAAAAUUUAUAGAUAAUUAAGAGUGCUGAUUUUAUUUACAAUAGUUCUAGAGUUACUGAUAGUUCAAGCAAAUAGUUCAGGUCCUUAAAGAAAACAACGAAAAUGCCUUAGGACAAACUGGGACAUCAACCUAAUGUAGCGAAAAUAUAGGACAAAAUAAGACGUUGCGUGUAGAACUAUUAUAAAUAAAGUCAGAGCUCUUAAUUAUGGGUUCCCACAAAAUGAGAUGCCAACUUCACACACAUUGUAGGGCACCCUAUAUAAUUGAUACAUAACUAUACUAAUAUCGAAACGUGCUACGUCAAACCAGCUGGAAGGAAGACUCGCAUAUACGCACCAGGAUUGACCGAAAUCCGAAUGUAACGAAAAAGAGCAAAAAUUUCUAAAACCCGGUUAUUGAGAGAGGAGGUCAAAGGAAGAAAUGUUUGCCCAACUGCCUGGGCGAGACAGCUGAAUUGAGACAUAGGAUGCGCUCGGCAAAGUUUCAUAUUGUUGAAUAAUGACUACGAGUUUAAACAUCAAAAAGCCGAUCAAAGGGAAAAGAUGGAGAGGAUUUUGCAACCAUAUAGCAUGCUGAAAGGAUGACUCUUGAUGACGGGAAGACUAAUCAAUGCACGAGUCUCGCGACCAGCAGACGCGGCGACGCCUUGUUGCAUAACAAGAUCAGCGCGAAUGCAAUAAUAAUAAUUCGCGGGAGAUGCAAAAGUCACGCGCAACGACCCGAUUUAUUUGCAUAGCGAUGUACGAAGAAUCGAUACGAAGCUCGAUCUUAUACACGCGCGUAUUUUUUUCUGUUAUAAAGUUUCUGCUAUAUACAUACAGAGAGAAUUUUCUCUUAGAAUUUAUCCUGA